rnacentral:rRNA from 1 species
UACGUAGGGGGCGAGCGUUGUCCGGAAUUACUGGGCGUAAAGGGUGAGUAGGCGGUUUGUUAAGUUGGAUGUGAAAUCCCCGGGCUUAACUCGGGACCUGCAUUCAAAACUGGCAGACUAGAGUGUCGGAGAGGAAAGCGGAAUUCCUGGUGUAGCGGUGAAAUGCAUAGAUAUCAGGAGGAACACCGGUGGCGAAGGCGGCUUUCUGGACGAUAACUGACGCUGAGGCACGAAAGCGUGGGGAG